UUAAGGGCAAUAUAUAAAUUGAAUAAAUAACAACCUGUGCAGUUGUGAAAUCAUAGAAUGCAGAGACAUGCCUUGCAUAUCUCUUGAAUUAAUGUACAAAUUUAAAAGACGCCUGCUUCUUGGGAGAAAAGCAAUGACAAACCUAGACAGCAUCUUAAAAAGCAGAGACAUCACCUUGCCAACAAAGGUCUGUAUAGUUAAAGCUAUGGUUUUCCCAGUAGUGAUGUAUGGAAGUGAGAGCUGGACCAUAAAGAAGGCUGAUUGCCAAAGAAUUGAUGCUUUUGAAUUAUGGUGCUGGAGGAGACUCUUGAGAGUCCCAUGGACUGCAAGAAGAUCAAACCUCUCCAUUCUGAAGGAAAUCAGCCCUGAGUGCUCACUGGAAGGACAAAUCCUGAAGCUGAGACUCCAAUACUUUGGCCACCUCAUGAGAAGAGAAGACUCCCUGAAAAAGACCCUGAUGUUGGGAAAGACGGAGGGCACAAGGAGAAGGGGACGGCAGAGGACGAGAUGGUUGGACAGUGUUUUUGAAGCUACCAGCAUGAGUUUGACCAAACUGCGGGAGGCCUGGCAUGCUCUGGUCCAUGGGGUCACGAAGAGUCGGACAUGACUAAACAACAACAAAGGCCUAAGAGUAAAAAGAAGAAAGUGUUACAAAUUCUAACAUAAUAAUGCUAUAUGGCCUGAAGUUUCAAGACAAAACAAUGAUUUGAAGGGCAGUCAGUUGAAGAGAAUUCUGCUGUGAUAGAUGUAGUCAAAGUAAAACAGAUACAAUGAUAGAAAGAGAUCUUUGAUUACAAUAUCCUCUUCUCUACUCUGUUUUUUCCUUUGUUGGCAACAUCCAGGGCUGAUCCAAGACAUCUUCCUGCCUGAGGCAGAAGAGCAAAUGGGACUUCCCUCACCAAGUCAAAAUGCAUAGUACUCAAGGCUGGCAAAGUUAUUUUGCUGCCAGAGGCAGAUAUUCCUACAGGUGCCUCUCAUUUGGAGUAAAAACAUUAUUAUUAUUAUUAGUAGUAGUAGUAGUAGUAGUAGUCGUAGUAGUAACAACAACAACAACAACAACAUUUCCCCACUCUUUGAUGUCACCCAAAAUCAACUGCCUGAGGCUGCUGCUUCACUCUGCCUAAUAGUAGGGCCAGCCCUGGGGGCAGCUGUGUCUGUCUUCAGCUUUCCUAUAUAUUUUCUUGCAGAACUGACACUGGAAACCAAACAACGGCCAUGUUCUGAAGAAUACUACUGCUUGGUGAUUGUAGGAAAGCAAACUCACCUUGCAUAAGAGAAAACUUGUCAGGUUUCCAUAGAUUCAACCCAUAAUGUCAGAUCUGCCUCAAGCCAAAAUAGGAUGGGAUUAUAGGGAGCAACAUGACCUGAAAAAUGAAAAGAAAGCAGAGGCUAGACAAUGCAAGGCGAAGCACAAACAAAGCUUAUUUGAGAGCUAGACUGAAAGCAUUCUUUGACAGAAGAAUCUGAAUCCAUUUGUUGUUUAGACUGGAGAAAUAGUCUGAUUCACUUGUCACAUUGCCUUCUCUGGUUGAUUGGGUAUUUUCAAGGCACUGGUUGAGCUUUUUGCAAUUCCUUCCUUUGACCAGAUCUUAAUGGUAGCAUUUAGGUUGAGUCUUUGGCCAAAAUCUCUAGGGCCUGCAGCCUGAGUGGUCCAAAUAGUCGUGGUCAAACCCUGAAAGGCACAAAACCCAAUGAUAAACAAAUUGAUACAUCACAUGACAAACCUAGACAGCAUCUUAAAAAGCAGAGACAUCACCUUGCCAACAAAGGUCUGUAUAGUUAAAGCUAUGGUUUUCCCAGUAGUGAUGUAUGGAAGUGAGAGCUGGACCAUAAAGAAGGCUGAUCGCCGAAGAAUUGAUGCUUUUGAAUUAUGGUGCUGGAGGAGACUCUGGAGAGACCCAUGGACUGCAAGAAGAUCAAACCUCUCCAUUCUUAAGGAAAUCAGCCCUGGGCGCUCACUGGAAGGGCAGAUCGUGAAGCUGAGGCUCCAAUACUUUGGCCACCUCAUGAGAAGAGAAGACUCCCUGGAAAAGACCCUGAUGUUGGGAAAGAUGGAGGGCACAAGGAGAAGGGGACGACAGAGGAUGAGAUGGUUGGACAGUGUUCUCAAAGCUACCAGCAUGAGUUUGACCAAACUGUGGGAGGCAGUGGAAGACAGGAGUGCCUGGCAUGCUCUGGUCCAUGGGGUCACGAAGAGUCAGACAUGACUAAAUGACUAAACAACAACAACAUCAUCACCAUCACUGUAUACAGAGCUAGCAAAAGAGUGGGAGUACAUAGCUCUUUUGAGAAAUAAGCCAUUUCUGGAUGAAUGAUUAAGU